rnacentral:rRNA from 1 species
GUCAUUAUUCGGGCUCGCAGGACCUUACCUGGCCUUGCAUGUCCGGACCUUGCGAGAUGCGAGUGUCUUUCGGAAUCGGACACAGGCGCUGAUGGUGUCGUCAGAUCGUGUCGUGAGAUGUUGGUUAAGUCCCGUAACGAGCUCAACCCUUGUCCUUAGUUACCAGCACUUUAAGGUGGCACUCUAAGGAGACUGCCGGUGACAAACCGAGUAAAGAUCGAGAUGACGCCAAGUAAUCAUGGCCCUUACGGCCAGUCUACACACGGUACUUCAAUGCUCGGCACAGUGCGUACCCAAGCCGCGAGUUGCAGCUAAUCCCAUAAAAGCGAUCGCAGUCCGAAUCGCAGUCUGCAACUGACCUGCGUAAGGCCGGAUUCCUUAGUUAUUCGGAAUUAAGAAAGGACGGUGAAUACGUCCCCGGGCCUUGUACACACCCCCCAUCACACAAUGGGGGUUGGUUGCUCCAAGAAGGAGCUAGCCUAACCGAAGGGGGGAAAGGUACCACGGAAUUAAUUAAUAGAAUAAGGACAAGUCGUAACAUGGUAACCGUAA